rnacentral:rRNA from 1 species
AUGUAUGAUACUCGUACUUUAGGAGAGGAGCAAGAGUCUGAAGAUGACUUGGACGAUGAUGCUGAAGCAUACUAUAGAUUAGUUAAUGAUGGACGCCAAGAGUUGUACCCAGGUUGCAAAAGAUUCUCGAAGCUGCAAUUUUUGGUGAGGUUGCUUCACAUCAAGAAUAUGAGGGGAGUGGGCAAUGUCUGCUUUGAUGAGGUAUUGACGCUAAUUAAGGAGGUACUUCCAGAAGGUGAGGCCUUGCCCAAAAAAUUUCAUGGGGCCAAAAAGUUUGUGAGAGCCAUUGGUAUUGGUUAUGAUAGUAUAGAUGCAUGCAAAAAUGAUUGCAUUCUAUUUAGGAAGGAACAUGCUGAUGCCAUAUCAUGUCCAGUGUGUGGCACAAGUAGAUGGAAGAGCGUAAAUACUGGAGUUGAUGGAAGGCGUGUCCACAAGGUGCCUCAAAAGGUGGUUCGUCAUUUCCCGCUAAAGAAGAGACUCCAAAGGUUGUUCGCUUCUACAAAGACGGCAUCAGAUAUGAGGUGGCACAACGAAGGCCGCACAAAGGACGGCAAGAUACGACACCCAGCUGAUUCACCUGCAUGGAAACACUUUGAUGCUAUUCACAAAGACUUCAGUUCAGAAGUUUGCAACGUUAGAUUUGGAUUGGGAGCUGAUGGUUUCAACCCUUUUGGAAAUAUGAAUCUCUCAUAUAGCAUAUGGCCUAUCAUCUUGAUCCCCUACAACCUUCCUCCAUGGAUUUGUAUGAAGCAAUCAAACUUUAUCCUCUCUAUCAUCAUUCCUGGUAAAAAAUCUCCAGGGAAAGACAUGGAUGUUAGCUAA